GAAAGGCUGGUUGUAAUUAGGGGCAAAACAGCGGUGGGCACGGCGGGGGGCCCCAAUCUCCACAACGACCCACCGUCGUGGGGUGCCUGUGCCUGUGAGUGGUGUCCGUCCCCGCUGAAGAUGGAGGAAGACUGGGAGGGACUGUUGGAGCUGAAGGACAUGGCAAGGAGGCAGGGGGAACAGAUCCGUCUCCUGUCGCAGUGGGUGGAGCUGCUGCAGCGGCCUCAAGCAGGGUCGCCUGGGAGCCCCAAGGUGUGUUGGCGGUGCCGGCAGCCCGGCCACCUGGCCAGGAACUGUGAUGGGCAACGAGUCCCUGCUUCGCCGCGGCCCUCGCCGGUAGCCCAAUCGGGGCGCAAUGGGAGGCCCUCCCCUCGUCGGCCAGCAGGAGGUCUGCCGUCCCCUGGACUGAGUAGUGGCCGUGCCAGCGGAGCGCUGCCGAACUCAAGGGACAUGUCCAUGCCUCUCCAACCUCCAACCUGGGUCCUCUUACACUGUGUGUGUGUAUGCUUGUGUGUGUGUAUGAUGAUGCUGUUCAAUUUUCUUGGUGCAUUGUAGGGUGUGUGUGCGAUGGGGUGACUGUGUGCCUGUCUACCUGUAGGUGCGCGACUGCCCGUGCGCACGAUUGUGGGGGAGCAUGCCUGCCUGCCUGCCUGACUGGAGGGUGCUAGUGUGUGAGUGUGCCUGCUUAUUGUAGUAUGUGCAUGAUUGUGUAAGUCUGCCUGCCUGUGUGCAUAGGCCUACUGUGACCUGAAUCCUGGCGGUGGAAAGCUAGCCCAUCGUCGGGGCGACGAUGCCACGCCUGUACAAAUGCCUGCUUGCUUGCUUGACUGCGUGUGCGUGCCUGAUGGUGAGUUUGCCUGCGGGUACACCGGUGCUGGGAUCGUGUAUCGUCGGGACGACGAUCCAAAAAGCAGGGGAAAAAUGUAACAGGGCGCACUGCCUGUCCAGUAAGGUGUGUCCCUCAGCAGUUCCCAUACCCCAAUGACGUCACGGGACUCAGGUAGCCGCUCAGUGGCUAAUCCGUAAUUGGUGGCUAUGCCAUUGUUUUUAUAAAAUCAGAUGAAUUAGACCGGCUCAUUGGAGCCUUCCCGGUGUGCCGGUAUUCGCUGAUGAUGCCCGGUGCCUUUGCUACGGGUGCAGCAAGGAGCCAGAGUUCCCGUGGCGUCUAACCCCAGUGGCUUCCCCUCCCUCUCAGUGUUGUUGAGACACCUCAGAGUACGUCGAGGGUCUGUCUCUGUGGGCAGACUGCUUGCGGCAGCUGCUCACCGCUGUUUUGCCCUUACGAAAUUGUUUAGCCUUUCUGUUUUGUUUGUUUCUUUAAUUUUCUUUCGCCUGUCCGCCGCUUUAGCUUGUCACUUUGUCAUUGUACGGGGUUUGGCUGUCGCAGUUCUAGGCCUAUGUACGCUAGUCGGGCCGGGCCAUACAGUAGACUAGUAGUUUUGAGUGUGAUUAUACGGAUUUAUUCUGUGUGUAGUGGAUAUCCACACUUAUUGUCAUUUAAUCACUUACAUAGCGUAGUGAGCCUAUGCGCGUGUGUGUGACUGGCGUUUACCA